rnacentral:rRNA from 1 species
UACAGAGGGUGCAAGCGUUGUUCGGAAUUACUGGGCGUAAAGCGCGCGUAGGCGGCUUUGUAAGUUAGAGGUGAAAGCCCGGAGCUCAACUCCGGAACUGCCUUUAAGACUGCAUCGCUUGAAUCCAGGAGAGGUGAGUGGAAUUCCGAGUGUAGAGGUGAAAUUCGUAGAUAUUCGGAAGAACACCAGUGGCGGAAGGCGGCUCACUGGACUGGUAUUGACGCUGAGGUGCGAAAGCGUGGGGAGCAAACAGG